AAUAUUAUUAUAAUCAUCAUUUCUUCAUCUUCACAUUCAUAUAUAAAUUACCAGAUUUCCCCCAAUUUCUUCUUCUUCUUCGCAACAAUAGAAUUCCAAAACUGAAAUCGAUCAUGGUGGAAACCAGACAGAGUUCAUCGUCAUCCAAACCAGACGGAGGCGGCAUCAUUGACCACCGGAACGCCGGUGGAGCCGAUUGAGGCGGUGGUGAAGGAAUCGUUUGAUCCGUGUAAGAAGGAGCCGGAUGCUUCCACUACUACAACUCUUGUUACCUUCCAUCACCAUCACAAUCACCGAUUUGCAUAUUUUUAUCACCUGAGACGACAUCUGUUAUUGCAGAACACUUGUCUACUAAAGAAGUAGAAGUGAUUAAAGACAUGUUUACAUUGAUGGUGAUGGGAAAGUUACAUUUGAUGAACUAUUAAAGAAAGUCGGUUCACAAUUGUCUUAACCUGAGAUCUGACUGUUCAUGGAUGUGGUAAUGCUAAAAGAUUGUGAAUGCUAAAAUUCUACCAUUUGUUCAUUCAUUAGGCUGAUGUUGAUGACAAUGGCGUACAUCGUACCCGAGUGUGGAGAGUUUGUACUUUGUGGCAGUGACAAUUCAUUUGCAGAUGAGCAUCUACACAAAGCGUUUAUGUUUUUUUUUUUAUGAAGAUGGAAGCGGUUAUAUUGAGCUUGAUGAGCUAGAACAAGUGUUGUAUGAACCUGUCACGCAGACAUGCGUGCGAGUACUCAAUGAAAGCAUGAAACAAAGAAGUUGAUACAGUCAACAAGGAUGGUUAAAUCAGUUUCAAGGAAUUUUCAUCAUCGAGAACAGAUUGGAGGAAGGCAUCAUGACAAUAUUCGAGAGAGUGAUUCAAGAGCUUGAGUGUAAACUUGAUGAAAGAUGGAUCGAUGCGGCUCAAGCACGGGUUGACCGGUCAAAGUGUUGCAGGUUGAAUUAAUGAAGUACACAAUAUUCUUUUAUUUUGUAUGUCUUCAGAAUGAAGGGGAUUUGCAUGCCGGGGUUUAUUUUCAACUAGUUCGAAGUUGUAUAUAUUUUCUUAUUUUUAUACAAUUUUAACUUCUAUAUUUAUAACUUUUUGGCUUUUUUAUAGUUGCAUUUGAUAUCUUGGAUAUGAUUAGAAGUUUCGUUUUUUUUUCU